UCAGGAGUGGCCGGUGCUUGCUGCGGCGCGCUGAACGAAAGUGCACAGAAAGACGGAUACGUAGUUUAAUUCGAAAGAAACUAUGUUUAUGCGAGUGUGGAAAAUUGAUUAGCUCCUUAAUGCCGCGCUCAGGCAGGGUGCGUGCGAGGGCUGCCAGCUUCCUGUAGCAGGACUGCCAGGCCUAAUAAACUCAGGUGCGCUAUAUAAAUAUAGCGCCUUGACGCAUAUGUGUGCUAUACGUCAGUGUCAUUAUAUUGAGCUCGAUUCGCAUGUGUAAAAAGGGUGCAUGAGCCUGGAACGUCUGCAUCAGCACGGAAACAGGACUGCUCCUUCCCGGGUCGGAAUGGACCGAACCGGACCGACUGGGGAGGAUUCAUCCACAGUGGCGGAGAGGAUAGUCACGUGACUCCCGUUUCUUUUGAAUCGAGCAGUUUAAACAAAAUAUGAUUGCCAAAGUAAGCCAACAAAAGUUUAUUUCUAUAGAAACGUUCUUCGCCAGAUUAGCGCUGCGAGCCCCCCUGGGAAUGAUGGGACUCGAGGGCGCUCUCGUUUCUCGGUGGGGUGUCAGAGCGGGCAGCUCUGCUCCGACGCGGCUCUCCGGAGAGCGAGUCGAACGGCGCAUCCGCACGGAGGAAGUGGAUAAACCUGAAAGUUAGCUAAUUGAAGUCAGACGGCACUCGACAGUCCCGGGAGAGCCAAGGCGGGAUUACCAUGUAAGCGGAUUGGUGCGGACAGCCGCCAUCCUGCCGCCAGCUGGAGCAGGAGGCACGAGAAGAAAGGUUCCCCCCCCAGCAAAAUUAGCCCCCGGCACUUUGUAUUCUCCAAAAACACUACCGUUAUACCGUUGGGGAGUCAGGAUCUGCUGCGGGCUGAUGUAACGUGACGGACACGCAGGGCGGUGCAGAGCAGACCGGCAGGCCGAGGCCUUACCACAGUAAGCCGGAUGAUGAAUAAAGUACGUCAGGCAAUAAAUAUACCCAUUAUGAUGGAAGGACUGCACUCCAUAUCUAAAAUAUGUCAGGAUUUAAUUUUCGCUUGACCGAAGCUCUUGAGAUGUUCCAUCAUUUUGUGAUCAGAGAACUUAGUACAUAGAUGAAUGGCCGUGGUUUUUUGUCAAAAACAAUGUGACAGCUAAUGAAUCACUUCGUCCCCAUUAUGUGUCCUAAUGAAUGCUUCUGGAAAAUAUAUUUUAAAGACUUAAGUUUCAUUCUGUAGCACAACGAUUCAUAACAAGGUGUACUGUACUGUAAAAGGAACUGUUUCUAAUGGACCGCUAUCCCAUAAUGCAAUGCGGCACGAGGUGGUCAGGUGAUUCCCUCCACGUGGUAGCACUAACAGAGUGGGUCUGCCAUUCAGUGCCUGUGCAACAAAUUAUUUACAAUUCUGCAUUUUUAUUAUGCUUUAUUAUUAAAAUGCUUUCGGGGGCUGGUUUUACGACAAGAUAUUUCAGAGG